rnacentral:lncRNA from 1 species
UUUGACCAAGACCUGGGUCCUGGCAUAGAAUAUUUCAUUCCCCACACAUUCAUAGUAUCGUCGGUCGUCCGUAGAUCGAUGUCCUUACAAACAGUUCCAAACUAACAUGCAAAUGUGUAUCAUCAUUAUUAUUGUUACUACUUUUUAAUUAGGUCCGGCGAAUCUGAAUGGUAGAGGGAGAGAGAAUGGGGUAGGGACUGAUUGGGCCCGUCCACUUCCUUCUAAGCGAGGAGGCAGCACACGGCGAGCAGCGAUGCUCGAGCCGAUUCUGACAACAACGACGCAAAGCGUUCAAUCACGGCCGAGGAGGAGGAGGAGGCUUGUUGUUUUGAAUCGGAGCAAUAGCCUCUUCUCGGAGCCAGUUCUCCUCAGCGCAACAGACAUGGCUGCUGGAGUGGCUCGCAGAUCGUCGCCAUAGCCACAGCAAUGGUGCAGCCAGAGCCACUGGGUGCGCUUCACUGACUGCACGAGAAGCAGGAGGAUGGAACGGGCCGGGCCCGGUUGGGUCGGGACGGGACGGGUGGGGAACCGACCGUUGCGGUACGUGGCCGAGCCACGUGUG